rnacentral:lncRNA from 1 species
CUGCCUGGAAUUUGAAUGUGGUAUCUGGAGCUUCAGUAGUCAUCCAGGACUGUAAGUGUGAAAGCCAUGCACUGAGAGUGGUGGAACAGAAGACGCUGACUCCUGCUGUCUACCAGAUCCUCGUGGUACAAUGACUGGUGUAGACUGGCUUGUUGAAGUCACUCUCUGGAUCUGAGCAACGCUGGCUGAGCCGUGAUGAAGUAUUCCUAUCCAUCCACUAUGCUUCACAGUGGGAAUCUCUCACUGUUCAUCACCGCUGCCCUAGCAGCCGCAGGGAUUCUUCACCCAUGGUUGCUUAGGUUUAUAAGCAAGGAAGCUGAAUGAAGUCCCUUUCCUCUCUGGAUGAGCCCCUGGGUUUCUGGAAGAGUCUUAAAAUCACCCCUAAAUGGCUUCCAAGCACUGAAGCCCGAGAUGUUAGCUGGCCUGUGUGAGGCCUUGAGACAGAAUGCCACAGCCACACCCCAAGGAUGCUGAAGGGGAUUUCCCUCCUCUGUGGUUUUUCUCCUUUCUUCCCGCAGCACUCCUCCUACGUGCUAACAUCUUCUAGUCAAACAACUCUCCUUUUCAAAGGGACCAGGCACAGUUUCUGCUUAUCCCUGAGUAGCAGUGUUCAGUUUCCUGCCAGCCUGUGGAGUUUUUCAAACAAGCCAAUCACCUCCUCCUGUGGGAACUGAGAAGCACCCCACCCUCUCGAUACUACAAAGCCCCUGCUUGUUCCCUAGUGCAACUCCCAUGUGGUCCUGUGGAGCAUAUGGUAUCUUCCUCUUCUGGGCAGUGAGCAUAUGUGACUAAUAAACUAUCUAUCUCAUCUGUUCAGUGCCAGGUGUCAUUUGUUCUGCCAUCCCAUGACCUAGGGUGGGGAUUCCUUCCACACCAACAGGGUGAAUGCAAGGUGAUUAAAACAAGAAGCCUCUUCAGGAUCUAUAUCCUAGGGAAAAAAUUAAACAACAACAACAAAACAAGAAGCUUCAACUCUGACCCUGUAUUCCAGAUGUGUUACAGGGGCCUGUCUCCCCAGAGCCACUCUCCAGGUCAGAGCUUACCUCCCCUUGCUCAGGGUUAGGAGCUCUGGGCAGGAAAAGGACAUCAUGUUAAAA